CAUGGCCCAGAACGAACGCCGGCGGCAGGCCUAACACAUUGCAAGUUCAACGGUAGCAGGAGAAAGCCUUGCCUUCCUUGCUGACCAGUGGCGGAACGGGUCGAGUAAUUGCUUUGGGAAUCUGGCUUAUGGAGGGGGAUAACUACGGGAAACCGUAGCUAAUACCGCCUAGAAUCGGAAAAAGAAAGUGCGGGACCGCAAGGCCCCAUGCCAUGAGAUUGAGCCCAAGUUGGGAUUCAGGUAGUUUGGUGGGGUAAAGGCCUACCAAGCCUGCGAUUCUCUAGCUGGUCUGAGAGGAUGGCCAGCCACACUGGAACUGAGACACGGUCCAGACUCCUACGGGAGGCAGCAGUGGGGAAUAUUUGCGCAAUGGGGGGAACCCUGACGCAGCCAUGCCGCGUGAAUGAAGAAGGCCUUCGGGUUUGUAAAGUUCUUUCGGUAUUGAGGAAGGGAUGUGUGCUAAUAGUACAUAUCAUUGACGUUAAAUACAGAAGAAGCACCGGCUAACUCCGUGCCAGCAGCCGGCGGUAAUACGGAGGGUGCGAGCGUUAAUCGGAAUAACUGGGCGUAAAGGGCACGCAGGCGGUUAUUUAAGUGAGGUGUGAAAGCCCCGGGCUUAACCUGGGAAUUGCAUUUCAGACUGGGUAACUAGAGUACUUUAGGGAGGGGUAGAAUUCCACGUGUAGCGGUGAAAUGCGUAGAGAUGUGGAGGAAUACCGAAGGCGAAGGCAGCCCCUUGGGAAUGUACUGACGCUCAUGUGCGAAAGCGUGGGGAGCAAACAGGAUUAGAUACCCUGGUAGUCCACGCUGUAAACGCUGUCGAUUUGGGGAUUGAGCUUUAAGCUUGGUGCCCGUAGCUAACGUGAUAAAUCGACCGCCUGGGGAGUACGGCCGCAAGGUUAAAACUCAAAUGAAUUGACGGGGGCCCGCACAAGCGGUGGAGCAUGUGGUUUAAUUCGAUGCAACGCGAAGAACCUUACCUACUCUUGACAUCCAUGGAAUCCUGUAGAGAUACGGGAGUGCCUUCGGGAACCAUGAGACAGGUGCUGCAUGGCUGUCGUCAGCUCGUGUUGUGAAAUGUUGGGUUAAGUCCCGCAACGAGCGCAACCCUUAUCCUUUGUUGCCAGCGAUUUGGUCGGGAACUCAAAGGAGACUGCCAGUGAUAAACUGGAGGAAGGUGGGGAUGACGUCAAAGUCAUCAUGGCCCUUACGAGUAGGGCUACACACGUGCUACGAUGGCGUAUACAGAGGGUGGCGAAAUUGCGAGAUGGAGCGAAAUCUCAGAAAAGUACGUCUAAGUCCGGAUUGGAGUCUGCGAACUCGAACUCCAUGAAAGUCGGAAUCGCUAGUAUUCGCGAAUCGGAAAUGUCGCGGUGAAAUACGUUUCCCGGGCCCUUGGACACACCGCCCGU
rnacentral:rRNA from 1 species